rnacentral:rRNA from 1 species
AGCGAACGCUGGCGGCAGGCCUAACACAUGCAAGUCGAGCGCCCAGCAAUGGGAGCGGCAGACGGGAUAGUAACACGUGGGAACGUGCCCUUUGGUUCGGAAUAACUCAGGGAAACUUGAGCUAAUACCGGAUAAGCCCUUCGGGGGAAAGAUUUAUUGCCAUUGGAGCGGCCCGCGUCGGAUUAGCUAGUUGGUGAGGUAAUGGCUCACCAAGGCGACGAUCCGUAGCUGGUCUGAGAGGAUGACCAGCAUCACUGGGACUGAGACACGGCCCAGACUCCUACGGGAGGCAGCAGUGGGGAAUAUUGGACAAUGGGCGCAAGCCUGAUCCAGCCAUGCCGCGUGGAUGAUGAAGGCCCUAGGGUUGUAAAGUCCUUUUAACGGGGAAGAUAAUGACGGUACCCGUAGAAUAAGCCCCGGCUAACUUCGUGCCAGCAGCCGCCGUAA